rnacentral:rRNA from 1 species
AACCUUUAGCAAAGCAAGCAUUAAAGGCAACGCCUGCCCAGUGAACGAUUAAACGGCCGCGGUACCCUAACCGUGCAAAGGUAGCGUAAUCACUUGUCUAUUAAUUGUAGACCCGUAUGAAAGGCAAAAUGAGGGCCUAACUGUCUCUUAUAAUAAAUCAAUUAAACUGAUCUCCCAGUAAAAAAGCUGGAAUACACACAUAAGACCAGAAGACCCUGUGAAGCUUAAACUAAAUUAUUAAACCCUAUAAUAACUCCUUUCGGUUGGGGCGACCUUGGAAACAAAAAGAACUUCCAAACACAUGACCUAACAUCAUACUAUAAGGCCAACAAGCCAAAAUCAGAUCCAGCUAGACUGAAAAAUGAACCAAGUUACUCCAGGGAUAACAGCGCUAUCUUCUUCAAGAGCCCAUAUCAAAAAGAAGGUUUACGACCUCGAUGUUGGAUCAGGACAUCCUAUUGGUGCAGCAGCUAUUAAGGGUUCGUUUGUUCAACGAUUAAUAGUCCU